rnacentral:lncRNA from 1 species
GAACUGAGCACUUAGGACAUGGUACAUUGAUGAUUCUAGCAGAAAACGAAAAGGCACAAAAAUUUGUAUGUACAAGUCAUGAAGGGUACCGGAGGUGCCAGUGUUUGUAUUGUGAACUUCAUCACAAGUGAGAGAGAACAACUGGAACCAGAUUUAACUCCUGCUUAUUGUAAGAAGUCUUCAUCUCACUCAAAAGCCAUCAGCAAAAUGGGAUGCACUUAGCCCAUAACAUAUAUGGUGAGUUUUCA